GAUGAACGCUGGCGGCGUGCCUAAUACAUGCAAGUCGAGCGAACAGGCGAGGAGCUUGCUCCUCUGACGUUAGCGGCGGACGGGUGAGUAACACGUGGAUAACCUACCUAUAAGACUGGGAUAACUUCGGGAAACCGGAGCUAAUACCGGAUAAUAUAUUGAACCGCAUGGUUCAAUAGUGAAAGACGGUUUUGCUGUCACUUAUAGAUGGAUCCGCGCCGCAUUAGCUAGUUGGUAAGGUAACGGCUUACCAAGGCGACGAUGCGUAGCCGACCUGAGAGGGUGAUCGGCCACACUGGAACUGAGACACGGUCCAGACUCCUACGGGAGGCAGUAGUAGGGAAUCUUCCGCAAUGGGCGAAAGCCUGACGGAGCAACGCCGCGUGAGUGAUGAAGGUCUCCGGAUCGUAAAACUCUGUUAUUAGGGAAGAACAAAUGUGUAAGUAACUAUGCACGUCUUGACGGUACCUAAUCAGAAAGCCACGGCUAACUACGUG
rnacentral:rRNA from 1 species